AAAAGACGUUGGCAGCAAGAGGUUAAUGUUCUCCUCUCUCCUCUGGGAGGCUGAAGCUGGUGGCUGAGGCCUUUGUCAACACAUUGCUACUGUCCUUUGCCAGCAUAGAUGCCUGUUUCCAAGAGGGGUGAUGCCAAUGGUUUGUAUUCUGCACUUAUUCAGAAAAGGAAGGAAACAUGACCUGGUUUCCUUAUUUUCCCACAUUUCCAAAUGGAUGAUGAAUGCCUAAGGUCCCCAUGGGUUAAGGUCCCAUCUCUGACACUCAAGCCUGGUGGUCAGGGCUCCUGUGCUCCCAGCUGUUCAUAUGGGGAGAAGAGAUCCCAUCACUCAUUCUAACACCAUUCUCCACCCGCUCAUCCCCUACAGCUACCCUCUUUGGGAGGAAAGUCAUUAAUGAUUAUAGUGGAGACCAGGGGAGGGGUACCCUUCUUUCCCACCAGGUAUCUACCUGCCAUUCACCUGAAAGGUGAACAGUGGCAGCUGUAGGGAUGGUGCCUGUUUCUGGGCUUUUCUCUUUCUCACUUAUAUCUGACAUCUCAGGAACAGUUGGAAUUGUACCUUCUGCAAAAUAGAGAACUCUUCCCAAAGUCUGCAGUGUUACAGGGAAUCUGAGGUCCUGGUGAAGCUGAUGGGGCCUGAGGAGAAGUUGGUGAAUUGGGUUUGAUCCCAAGUUUUCUCCUUUCUGCUCACAUGUAAGAAGUCAAUCAGUCACAUGAUGAGGAAGAGGGUGCCAAACAAUGUCUUGUCUUCUGAUCCUGUCUCAGCCACACUGAAAACUCACCAGAAACUAUUGCAAGGGGAAAAAAGUCAUUGCCUGUUAGUGUCCAAGAGCAAUACCAGUUUGGGGAAACUUCUAAAAGACUGGUAUGGUCAUGUGAGUGUGUCUGGACAUGCCUAUGGGCUCAUUCUUUCCAAGCUAUUUCUCAUUCACUGCCUCUUUCUUUUGCAGAAAUGUGAGUUUCUCCUCUUAAAGGUCUAUACCAUUUAGAAAGUGAUGUUUUUCCAAGUAUUCCACGUGAAAAUUAUGUUAAAAAGGCUUCUCAAUAUGUAUGGAAACUUAGGAAGUUGGACAUAAUCAAGAAGAAACUAAUUAAGGGAAAUUACCAUCAAGUCAAAGAUUUUGUGUGGGCCAUGGACAAUUUCUUUUGGGACCCCAGGCACAUAUAUUUAUACUUAAUAAAGGAAGAAUUUAUGAAGGAUUACAAAAAAAUCUUUGCUAUUCGGGAGACAAAUUAGAACAGUUCACUGGUGCAGUGGAUGCUGUUGGAACUCUGAAAAUCCCAUCGUCAAGCAGAUUUCUUAUCUCCCUGCUUCUGUUAGGAUUGGCUGCUAAUAUCACCUCUCUCCAGUGUAUUGCUUCAAGCCACAUGGAGCCAGAUUCACCUAAUCACUAUAUCUUUUUAGCCGGGGGUUUUGUUCCCAGCCCCAAGGUUGAACCAACGAUGCACAGUGAUUUAUGUUCCCGUGUCCCCAGGUACUCAAGCUAGAGAUAUUGUCCAGCUGUGAGCAUGUCCUUGCUUCAUUUUCCCCUCCAUGAAGAGAAAGUAAGAGAUAACCCUGCUUCCCUUACCCUCCUCCUCCUCAGAGAAUUCUCACAAUAAAUCACUUAUU